CACACGGGAGACCAGCUUCCG
rnacentral:siRNA from 1 species